CAAGAAAUACUGCUACAAUCUACAGUAGUGCUGCCAACAUCGCUGCCUCUCUCCCAGAUGAGCUAAAUCUUUUUUACGUUCGGUUCGAUGUCACCAACGCUGAGCCUCGAGGAGAGCCGCCGAUCCGACCUGCACCUUGGUCAUCUCUGAGGCUGAAGUAUGCAGGUGCUUCCAAUGAGUGAACAGUCACAAAGCUGCAGGACCGGACAGCACCCCAGGUCGGGUACUCGGAGUGCACACCGCACAACUGGCAGUUAUUUGGUGGUAUGGCCAUUUGUGUCUUAGAUGCACUUGUGAACUAUCAACCUGAUCACCUCCUGAAAUCUCCUACCAGUCAUGAGGUAAUUUGCAGGGAAUUCAGCAGAAUGGGACACCCAUUUUAUCCCAUUUGGAGUCCUGAGCUGCAGUGAAUUGAUUGACCUAGAACCUGAAUCUGUCGAUGAGCUGUUGGAGAUGGAUCACAGUGACUUGUCAGCAUCUUAUUUGUUAUAUGCCUAUCAGGAUGGAAUACAGUGAACUGGACUGAUUUACUUUGGAGUGUUUCUGGUCUAGCAUUUUCCCACAUUUCCUAUAAAUCCUAUAGUUUCUUCAUUAUUUUUAUCAUUUCAUUGUUUUCGGAAACUAAAAAUAAAUAUA